rnacentral:lncRNA from 1 species
CCGGACGCGCCCGCUUCUCGCUGGAGUGCGCACCGAGCGGCAGUGACUUCGCCGCUGCUGUAGUUCCCCGGCUGGAUGCGGUGACUGGUGCCAGUGCUCAGGCGCCCGCUGCCCUUGACCUCCCGCCCCGCGAGCCCUAACUCAGCGCAGGAGGACCGGCUGCCGCCGCCGCCGCCGCCAGGAGGUAGAUUGGGAAGUGGAGCUGGCCGUGGUCAUUGGAAAGAAAGGCAAGCACAUCAAGGUGAAGUGGAAAAGGUGUUGGUGUCACCCAUGAUCUAUCCUCCUGUAUGGCCAAAUCCCCUGCCCCCAUAGGCCACAGAUGCCAUGGCCCACGUGGCCGGCUUCACUGUGGCUCAUGACGUGAGUGCUCGUGACUGGCUAACAAGAUGCAAUGGGAAACAGUGGCUGCUGGGAAAAACCUUCGACACCUUCUGCCCUCUGGGCCCUGCCUUGGUGACCAAGGACAGUGUAGCAGAUCCACACAACUUAAAGAUCUGCUGUCGAGUGAAUGGGGAAGUGGUCCAGAGCAGCAACACCAACCAGAUGGUAUUCAAGACAGAGGACCUGAUAGCCUGGGUGUCCCAGUUUGUUACCUUUUACCCAGGGGAUGUCAUCCUGACUGGGACCCCCCCACCUCCACCCAGGUGUCGGUGUAUUCAGGAAACCUCCUGUCUUUCUCAAGGUCUCUGAAGGUCCAGACAGCACUGAUGGCGAGCUUUGGGUCCGCACACUCUGGAAAGAAGAGAGAAGUGAAGGCUCUAGGUAGGGAGAACAGAGAGCCACUGGGCACAGGCUUCUCUCCUCUUGUUUAAAGAAGCCCAGGGAGGGAUAGAGCUCUGACUGGACAGAAGACUGUACUCUGCAGCCUGCCUUCCUAGAGUUGGGUUGUCACUGUCCUGCAGGGGGCAGCAGCCACCAGCAAACACCACUGCCUGCAGGAGCCUGGGCUGACUGGUUGGGACUCACCGAAGAUCCCUUCUUCCUGGGCGGUGGCCUGCAGGAACUGGAACAGCUGCUCUGUGUAGCCCAACUCUGCAGAAGAGAGAAGACCUAGACCUGGCACCCAGCACAGACACAGCCUGCCUCGAGGACUGCAAGGGAACAAGGGCCUCACCAGUAUCGGGCAGCUGGCCCUGGCGGAGGAAGGCGGCAGCCUGUGCAAAGGCCUUGAGCAGCGGGCUGAGCAGGCGGCAGAGGAAAAGAAAGAAAUCUGGGCAGUGUGACUGCUGGCUGAGCUGGAGGGGACAGGCCGGGGUGAGUGCAGCUCCCCACCGCCUCCCUACCACCUCCCUCCAGGGGCAGCUUUUUGAAACACACCCUGAAGUACCGGCCGUCAGCCUCUCCGAAGUCAUCACUGUCACUAUCAGUAAAGUCCCCACUCGGUUUCCACAGCA